ACAAAAACAUUGUCGUUUGAGUUUGAUUAUAAACGAUAAGUCCUGCCCAGUGAGAUUAGUCUUAAACGGCCGCGUUAGCGUGAGCGUGCUAAGGUAGCGUGAUAAGUUGUUCCUUAAUGAGGGACCGGUACGAAUGGAUUUAUGAAUCUUUUACUGUCUCCAAAUAUAGAGUGUAAAUUAGGUUUUAGGUGAAGACACCUAGAUGGGGCUAAAGGACAAGAAGACCCCGUUGAGCUUUAGUUUGUUAAGGCGUUUGGGUAAUAGUGGGCUUUGGCUGGGGCGGUUGAUGUCCAUCUAGAGCGACUGUAGAGAGUUAGGUAAUGUAUCGGAUGAGAAGAGUUGCAUGAAGUAAGGAGAGCUACCACGGGGGUAACAGGCUAAUUUACUCAGAGAGUACUUAUCGAUGAGUGGGUUUGGCACCUCGAUGUUGGCUCAAGGUUUCCCGCAGGCG
rnacentral:rRNA from 1 species